rnacentral:lncRNA from 1 species
UCAGUCCCUCUAUCGUGAGUUCCGACUAGAUGGUAGGUCAUAGAUAAAUCAUCAAACUUUAUCAUCAGUCAUAUGAUAGAUUCGAUUAGCUCAAAUUCAAUUUUGAUUCUCAUGAAAACUCUUUUCCAUCAAUCACAUUGCUGUGGCCACAAACUCACGGACUUAGCCUCUCAAAUCUUAUAAAACUUUUUCUCUCAAUCA